AAGAUUUUAAAAGUCGAACAGACUUAACUUAUUAACCUCUACAUUAAUAAUUUAUCUUAAUUCAACAUCGAGGUCAUAAUCUAUUUUAUCAAUUUGGUCUCUCUAAAAUAAUUAUG
rnacentral:rRNA from 1 species